rnacentral:rRNA from 1 species
GACGAACGCUGGCGGCGUGCUUAACACAUGCAAGUCGAACGGAAAGGCCCUGCUUUUGUGGGGUGCUCGAGUGGCGAACGGGUGAGUAACACGUGAGUAACCUGCCCUUGACUUUGGGAUAACUUCAGGAAACUGGGGCUAAUACCGGAUAGGAGCUCCUGCUGCAUGGUGGGGGUUGGAAAGUUUCGGCGGUUGGGGAUGGACUCGCGGCUUAUCAGCUUGUUGGUGGGGUAGUGGCUUACCAAGGCUUUGACGGGUAGCCGGCCUGAGAGGGUGACCGGCCACAUUGGGACUGAGAUACGGCCCAGACUCCUACGGGAGGCAGCAGUGGGGAAUAUUGCACAAUGGGCGGAAGCCUGAUGCAGCAACGCCGCGUGCGGGAUGACGGCCUUCGGGUUGUAAACCGCUUUCGCCUGUGACGAAGCGUGAGUGACGGUAAUGGGUAAAGAAGCACCGGCUAACUACGUGCCAGCAGCCGCGGUGAUACGUAGGGUGCGAGCGUUGUCCGGAUUUAUUGGGCGUAAAGGGCUCGUAGGUGGUUGAUCGCGUCGGAAGUGUAAUCUUGGGGCUUAACCCUGAGCGUGCUUUCGAUACGGGUUGACUUGAGGAAGGUAGGGGAGAAUGGAAUUCCUGGUGGAGCGGUGGAAUGCGCAGAUAUCAGGAGGAACACCAGUGGCGAAGGCGGUUCUCUGGGCCUUUCCUGACGCUGAGGAGCGAAAGCGUGGGGAGCGAACAGGCUUAGAUACCCUGGUAGUCCACGCUGUAAACGGUGGGUACUAGGUGUGGGGUCCAUUCCACGGGUUCCGUGCCGUAGCUAACGCUUUAAGUACCCCGCCUGGGGAGUACGGCCGCAAGGCUAAAACUCAAAGGAAUUGACGGGGCCCCGCACAAGCGGCGGAGCAUGCGGAUUAAUUCGAUGCAACGCGUAGAACCUUACCUGGGUUUGACAUGGAUCGGGAGUGCUCAGAGAUGGGUGUGCCUCUUUUGGGGUCGGUUCACAGGUGGUGCAUGGCUGUCGUCAGCUUGUGUCGUGAGAUGUUGGGUUAAGUCCCGCAACGAGCGCAACCCUUGUUCACUGUUGCCAGCACGUUAUGGUGGGGACUCAGUGGAGACCGCCGGGGUCAACUCGGAGGAAGGUGGGGAUGACGUCAAGUCAUCAUGCCCCUUAUGUCCAGGGCUUCACGCAUGCUACAAUGGCUGGUACAGAGAGUGGCGAGCCUGUGAGGGUGAGCGAAUCUCGGAAAGCCGGUCUCAGUUCGGAUUGGGGGCUGCAACUCGACCUCAUGAAGUCGGAGUCGCUAGUAAUCGCAGAUCAGCAACGCUGCGGUGAAUACGUUCCCGGGGCU